rnacentral:tRNA from 1 species
UGAGGUGUGGCUCAGUGGUAGAGCGCUGGCCUAGCAUGUGUGAGGCACUGGGUUCAAUUCUCAGCACCACAU